GGACAGAGACACAGAGACGCUGUUCUGUGACUGUCCUAGAACAGGCUAACGGAGCCUGCAAAACACAGCUUACUUUUAUUUUUAUUCUCCCUCUCCACACAAGUCAGAGAAACCUGACAUUUUCUCAGUGGAUGGAAGGAGGGAGAAACUUUCAAAUAGGCGUCAGCUGCACGGUGAAAAGUUUUGAAGAAGUUUGGCAGGAACCCCAGUCGGCUGUUACAUCUGCGCUCCUGACAUCAGACAACUGCCCCCGCAUCGACGCUCCCAAGAAAGGGGCUAUGGAGGUAACACACAAGCCUCAUUUUCCGGCCUUUGUACCGGGACCCCAAGGAGCGCAGGAGUCAGGAAAUUUAACUGGCUGCCUUAAAUCAGAUAUCCAUUCCCAGCUUUGCCGCUCAGAUCAGCAGGUUAUUGAUUUCCACCCCUGCAAGAUGACUCGCAAUCUGGGAACCUGUGGAAACUGUAUUUACUUUAACAUCUACACUUAAUGCAAUUUUGAAUCACUGAGCCUGAUGGACUUGUCUCUUUUACUCUAAGAAGCCCCGAGUCAGGCCAAUCUAAGGCCGGGUGGAAGUGAUCAACGCUGCUCCAUUAGCUGGAUAGAUGGCACAAAGACAGCUUGCUAUUAAGGAUCCUAGAGCAGGAGGGAAAGCCGGAAACAGUCUGCGAGGGAAGAUUUCCGGUUGUAUUGGGAACAGACUCAGAGCGGAGUCUGAGAAUCAGGGAAAAAAAAGUAAUGCAUCUUUAUUAUGGCUGAAGCCAUUAUUACGUUUCACAUCAUUAAGAAACCAAGCCUAGGUUUCCUAGACCUUAGGGACCACUAAGGAACGUCAUAGCUCUUCACUGAGGAGUGUAUUCCGAGGGAAACAACAGUGAGGACAGAAGGAACUGUGGCAGUGAAGGAGGAAAAGCAAAUAAUACCAGAGGAAACAUUGCCAAACUGGCCGCAGGUUUGCAACAAGUGCGAUUGAUUGCUUGGUCUCUGGUAGGUUUUCUGAAAGGCCUUAUAAAUUGCUGUGUGUCUGCGGGGAGGAGAGAAGGGAGAACUUGUCUUCCUCCCAUUGGCCAAAAUUCCAUCCAUGAGGCAUGAACUUCCCUGCACUUCCCAGGGGUGUCAGUGGUAGUGGGUGCAGGCCCACAGCUGCAGGCAGUCACUGCUGCAUGAAGGGCUUCUCAAUGUGUGGCAGUGCUUGUGACAGCAACAGCAGCUGGGUGCUAUGACUGUGGGUACAGCACAAGCUGUUGCUGGGGCCAUGCUGGCUGCAAAACGUGGCAAGAGUAUGGAUCUAGGGUAUCACAUUAACUGAGUCCAGUUCAAUGUUGGGUGAAUAAAUGGAUCAAGUCCAUUUCUCUGCUGUAAGGCAGGUUGAGUCUGCAAGUGAAUUGCCCGGGGUCAAGGUUGAUAAGAAGAUGAAGGUGAUAACCAGUAUGAUGGUGAUGAUGCUGAGGAUGACAAUGACAAUAAAUGCUUCAAUAUCUCCACAUGGUGCCAUACAAAAAGCUUUAUAGAGCAUUCACAUGCAUAGAAAGAAUGCCUAAAUACCCACUCUGAGAGAGAUUUAGGCAAGAAUUACUCAUUCCCAGAGUUACCAUCCUACCCAGGCCCCCAUCAUUUCCACCCUGUUCACUCCAAGAGCCUCCUAAACUGGUCUCACUUUCUCCAUCUCUUUUCUCCACUUCAUCCCUCCACCUCUUGAUCUCCCUAGAACACUGCUUGCACCACGUCAGUCCUUUGCUUCUUUUUUCACACUACGUCAACUUGAAAAGUCUCUGCCUGUCAGUCAGGACCCUCCAUCAUUAGACCCACACUCCCUAUUCAACUUGAUUUUUCAAAGACGUCCUCGUUAAUGGGCUGGCUUCCUUUUUGUCCCACAAACAUGCUUUUGUUCCCUCUAAACUUCAUGUCCUUUUGUAAUACAAUUUCUACUCUAGAAUGCAAUAAACUCUUUUCUCAUUUCCACCUAUACAAAUCCUUUCUAUCCUUCAAGAUCCACCUCAAGUUUCAUAUCCACCAUAAGUUUUUCUGUUACACGUUGAACUGUCCCCCCCCAAAAGAUGUUGAAGUCCUAACCCCCAGUACCUGUGAAUGUGAUCUUAUUUGGAAAUAGGAUCUUUGCAGAUGAUCAAGUUAAGAGGAGAUCAUUAGAAUGGAUUCUAAUCCAAUAUGACUGGUGUCCUUAUACAAAGGGGAAAUUGGGAGACAGACAAACACGAGGAGAAUGCCAUGUGAACAUGAAGGCAGAGAUCAGGGUGAUGGAUCUACAAGCCAAGGAAUGUCAAAGAUUGCUAGUAAACCACCAGAAGUUAGGGGAGAAGCAUGGAAUAGAUUCUUUCUCACAACCCUCAGAUCCAUCCAAAGAGUAGAAGUCUCUCUACUAUACCUGUCACUCAGAGUGACUCAUCCCAACUCUCCACUUCAAUGGACAUGGUCCUCAUUUUCAAAGAAGAGGGUGCAAUGACAACAGGCCCUAGAGUAUUAUGGGCCCCGUGGGUUGCAAAGAUUUACAAGUUGCACAGCAUUAUAAAUGCUUAGAGAAUCCAACUUAGUGAUUGAGAGUCCCUAUGCUCGAGAGAGUAGAGAGUCCAGUCUUCAAUCAACUUUCAACUUCCUGGUCUACAAGGAAAUUAAGGCACCCACCUGAGCGAAUGAAUGACCCAUGGGAAAUCUGAGACUCCUGGGAUGGGGGUAUCACAAGACUGUCCUUCUAAUUUGGGCCCCAGAGGGAAGACCUCCUCUCAGGCCUGAUAGCUUUACUUCCCUCACCUCUAUCUGCACAUCCUCCUGGGGGAAAGACCAGUGGCAAACGUAGGAUUUGAACAUGUAGUUGGAAAAGCAUAACUCAAGCUUAAGUCAUUCUCCAAACCUUGAAAUAUCCUUCUUACUACUUUUACUCCCCUCCUUUUGAUGAUUCCUUAAAAAAAAAGUCAGUUCAUGUUAGAAUGGCUAUAAUCACCAAGACAAAAAACAGUAAAUGUUGGAGAGGAUGUGGAGAAACAGGAACCCUCACACACAGCUGGUGGGAAUGCAAAUUGGUGCAGCCUCUAUGGAAAACGGUAUGGAGAUUCCUCAAAGAAUUAAAAAUAGAGAUGCCCUAUGAUCCAGCCAUCCCACUACUGGGAAUCUAUCCAACUCACCUGAAAUCAACAAUCCAAAGAGGCUUAUGCACCCCUAUGUUCAUUGCAGCAUUAUUCACCAUAGCCAAGAAGUGGAAGCAACCUAAGUGUCCCUCGACUGACGAUUGGAUUAAGAAAAUGAGGUAUAUAUAUACAAUGGAAUACUACUCAGCCAUAAAAAAAGACAAAAUCGUCCCAUUUGCAACAACAUGGAUGGGACUGGAGCGUAUUAUGUUAAGUGAAAUAAGCCAGAAAGAGAAAGACAAACACUGUAUGAUCUCACUCAU